GUCGAACGAUGACGGCCGUGCUUGCACGGUCUGAUUAGUGGCGAACGGGUGAGUAGCACGUGAGUAACCUGCCCUCCACUUCGGGAUAACCUCGGGAAAUCGUGGCUAAUACCGGAUAUGAGCACUCAUCGCAUGGUGGGUGUUGGAAAGAUUUAUCGGUGGGGGAUGGACUCGCGGCCUAUCAGUUUGUUGGUGAGGUGAUGGCUCACCAAGACGAUGACGGGUAGCCGGCCUGAGAGGGCGACCGGCCACACUGGGACUGAGACACGGCCCAGACUCCUACGGGAGGCAGCAGUGGGGAAUAUUGCACAAUGGGCGGAAGCCUGAUGCAGCGACGCCGCGUGAGGGAUGACGGCCUUCGGGUUGUAAACCUCUUUCAGUAGGGAAGAAGCGAAAGUGACGGCACCUGCAGAAGAAGCGCCGGCUAACUACGUGCCAGCAGCCGCGGUAAUACGUAGGGCGCAAGCGCUGUCCGGAAUUAUUGGGCGUAAAGAGCUUGUAGGUGGCUUGUCGCGUCUGCCGUGAAAACCCGAGGCUCAACCUCGGGCGUGCGGUGGGUACGGGCAGGCUAGAGUGUGGUAGGGGA
rnacentral:rRNA from 1 species